GCUGCCCGGGCCGGUGCGGCGGGAGGGGCCUCCGCGAGAAGCGCGCUCUCCCCGGGCGCGGGAAAGCUCACGCCGCCGGGGGCCUCCUGGCACCUGCCGCGGGGACUGCAGGGGAAGCCGCUUAAAUCGCCUGCCUUUGCCUUCUCACCCUCGCCCUUGAAGAAGCAUGGUGAUUUGGGCCAUCCAGUGCCAGCCUGAAAAAAGCACAGAGGAGCAGUGGUGUGUGACUUGAGGGCAGAGGCCAAAACACCUCCCCCCCCUUCCCAACUGCAGUAGAAAUUCCUUCCUUAGGUAAGAUCCAUGCUGCUAGAGGAGUCCUCAGGGCCACUGCCACAACACUGGAUGUCAGGAUUGAGCACUCCGCAGACCAUACUACAGGCUUCUCCCACAGCUCCUGGUGAAACCUGGUCUCUUAAGAUUUGCCUGAGAAGUAGAUGUCAGGAGUAGCACAGAAGAGCACUGAACUUACACCAACUUCCUGAAGCUCCAGAAUGGCAAAGGCUUCAAGGGGCUACUUCUAGGACCCUAAGAGUAGCCUAAAGUAUCUGGGAGAAGGUUGGAUGAAGGAGCCCUGCAUUCAUAAGUGAAAGUGCUUCAUAUGCUGAGGAUUUCACCUCUGCACAUGCAAAUUGCCCCCUUCCAUCUGAUCAAAACCUUUUAGACUUCAGCCUGGCACUCCUUCCCUCUGUCAGCCUCCAGUCAACAAGAACUCUGCAUCACCCAUUCACAGAUGCUCAGGAGCAUCACAUGGCUGAAACCAUGAUAGGCCACAGAAUAUAAAUAGAAAAGAUAAUCCUAAAAUUGUUAUGGAACCAGAAGAGGCCCUGGAUAGGCGAAAUGUUCUUGAAUAAGAAAAACAAAGCAGAAGGCACUGGGAUUGUGAGUGUCUUUUCCCACACUCUUAUCAAUAGUGUGUAUAUUGUUAGACUCUUGGGAUUUGCCAGUCUGAUAGUAUGAGUGAUAAUCUGCCUCUUGCUCCUUUCACUAAAAGAGGAAAGGCCAAGUGAAGACACAGUGAAAAGGUGACCAUCUGCAAGUCAGGAAGUUGCUUAACCAGAAACCUAUCCUAACAGCUCCUUGAUUCUGGACAUCCAGCCCGUAGAACUACGAGAAAAUACAUUUCUGCUGUUUUAGCCACCAAGACUGGACUAUUUUGUUACGGCCCAGAUAAGACCGUUUUCCAGCUUCCCUUAUUUGAGGCUGUGAUGAAGUGACUGGGCUCUGGCCAAAGGAAUAUGGAUAGAAAUGAUACAAGCAGCUUCCAGGCCUGGCCCUGGUAUACUCCCACUUGUUUGCAAGGUGGAUAAAUGUUGAAGCUCCAACAGAAAUUUCAAUUAGCACAUUUCUCUGGUCCCCAGAAUACAGUC